GGGGCUGACCGGUUUCGACGUCGAGUCCGUGACCCCAUCGUGCGACCGGAGUUGCUCAGACUCCUUAAACGGGGCACCCAAAGAAGCGCCGAUACGGACGACUUCGCUCUCGCCGCCUGACCUGGUCGGGUGAAGAGAGUCAACGCGACCAGCAAUGGCACGCGGGGCCAGACCGCUACAGCCCGGCAACAGAAGUAGCGGUGGACGGCGGGAGAGACCGCUGACCGCAGGGAAAGACCGCUGGCCGCCCGGAAAGACGGGCCGGUGCCGUCAGGCAGCCCACCCGGGGGUGCACCAGCCGUAGAGGUGCGGACACGGGAAUGGUCGUAGCGCGGUCGGUGAUCGCUUGGCGGACGGGGGUUCGAUUCCCCCCAGCUCCAC
rnacentral:tmRNA from 1 species